GGGGGGUGGGGGGCAAAACAGACCUUAUCGUGCCUUGUCCUUUAUAGCCGAUUAUGCGGUAUGGGUUCUUCUCAUGGUUGAAGGCAUAGCGGUUGCUUGUCAUUACUUACAAUAAACAUCCACUUACUUUGAACUGUAGGUGGAUAGUUGUCCCACUGGUAAUCGUAUCACAAACUGCAAAAGACAUUUUUUUUAUAUUCUUAUCUGACAAUUUUAAAGGGGCACUAGCUGUCAAAUUCAUGGUCACCGAUUUGACUCUAAUUCUCAUAUUUGAUUUAUAACAAUGUAAAACAUUUAUCCAAAGUGAGUGAAACUAUCAAAAGUCUAAAAUAAACAGUUUACAGAGCAUGGGGUAGAUAAUAUAUAGGUUCGUUUCGUGUGUAUUUUAGUCCAAACGCCAUCUAAUUACCUAUCGAUUUGACCUCAGAUGACCAUAUAAGCGAUGUAAACAUAAAUAAAGAUAUGAAUAGAUUAAACCAACACGUGCAAUUGGAUUUUUAUAGGUCUGUUUGAUUUUAUUUUAUAGAUUAAAAAUAGAUGUUUCUCAUUGUUUUUAACCGUAUAAGAAUGAUUUUAUG
rnacentral:lncRNA from 1 species